rnacentral:lncRNA from 1 species
UUACAACACGGUUAGAGAUCUUACAGUCUCCGUUGCGCCACCGGCUCUUGUUCCUCCCUGCCCUGCCCGGCCCUCAAGCCGUGCCCAAUCCAGUGGGAGACACUCUUGUGCCUCAUUUCCAAGUCGGCGCUAUUCCCGUUCCAAUUUCCCGUGCCCUAAUUCCCGCUCCUCUUCCCGCCAGAACAACGGCAAGCCAACCGCCACGGCUGAUUCAGACCAUGCUCGCAGCUGUACAAGACCUGAAAGUCUUGUGGAGACUUUAC